CAAGAGGAGAUUCACAGCCCUCUGGACACUGUAUGAGACUGGUUCAAAACCUGUCUAGAGAUGAGCUGCUGCACCUCUGGAGCUUCUGCUGUUGGUCUGCUCUGGGAGAAAAGCUGGGCUCAGUCUCAAUUAGAAACUUGGGCUGAUGAAGACCUGAGAUCACCUCCCAUCCUUGCUACUUGAGGUAAGCCCAGACAACUCAAUUGCUGUCCUAAGGCCAUGUUUCUGAAGGUCUCUUCCCAAGAUCCCAAACUUUCCACAUCUGCUCAGUGAUUCUUUUGGCAAGGGGACCAGCAGGAAUGGCUCUGUAUGAACAGCCUCUCACCUGUCUCUCUGAAGGGACAUCCUCCCUUUAAAGGACAACUCCCAGCUUCCCUUUUGGGAUGGUCCUGCUUCUCCUGGUGUGGUGGAGGUUGGUGAUGCUCCUGAAGGCUGAGGCUCCCCUGUGUCCUUUUGGAAGCCCUGUCGCUAUGGCGACUGUAUGCAGCUUUAUGAUCUGUUUAUUGUCCACUUCUUUCAAUCAGAAAUGCUUCUGGAGCUUUUAUAUUUUCAGUGAUUUUCAUUCAAAUUCACUAGUGGGUGGAUGAUACACUGGAAAAACUUCCAGAAACCUUAGGGUUCACUGUUGCACUCUUUUAUUUUUGUUAUUAUUAAAAGAUACUUUUUCUUGAUUUUAUAUUAAUUUUGUGUCAUUGUCAUACUGCUCUGAGAACAUCAGAGAAAAAGAGAAAAUUUUUUACUUCACCCCCUACUUUGAAUGCAAAACUCAUCAAAUUGCUCCCCAGGAUCCAGCUAAGGUGCUGGUGGCAAUGAAAGGAGCAGCAGAGCUGCCCGUAUGCUCCUCUGCCCUGACUCUCAGGGGACCAGCAGGAGCCAGGCAGGAUGGACCUGAACCCUUAGAGCUAAAGGCAAUUUUGCCCUGGAUCAGACCUGUGGGUAGCCCAGGGAGAUCUCCUUCUUGGUGCUCCCAGCUCAACUAGGGGAUCAAUGAAACAGAGGAGCAAUGAUGGUGAAGCCUCAGAAUGUGCACAUGGUGAAUGUACCCACCUUUGCUCACCUGCUUAUUCAUCAUCAAGGGACAUUUCAAACCCUGGUGGUUACUCCUCCCAGUUUAUAAACUAAAGUUUUUACCUACCAGGUCAUAGCACUUCUGAUUUGAUGAUUAUUUUAUUGAAGGUUCACAACUUGGCCCAUCCCUCUCCAAGGCUUCUGCCUCUUUGUCAGAGAGAGCUUUUACUCCUUGCCUUAUGCGUAUUCUUCCACCUGCUCUGACCCAUCUGCCACAGCAGUCCUAGGAGGUGAAGAUCUGUUCAGCUUAGACAAAUAUUAGUACUUCUGUAUUUGAUAGUAGUAUUUUAGGAAGUUAUUUUCUUUCAAAGGAAUUCAAAUACCUCUCCUUACCUUGGCUGCAUUUAAAAAUUUUGCCUCGUGUGCUGACAUGGGAAGAGCUCUUUGGUUGGGAACUCAUGGUUUGCUCUGAAGGUUUGAGAUCAUCAAUGAGGAAAUCUUAUUUCUCAAAAUACAGUUUAAAAAGAGCUGCCACAUGACUAAUAAUAAAAAUGUAUAGACAUGAAAUCAAGAGAUUAUUGAGGAGAAAAAUGCUUUCAAAUGUAGAAAAUAAGGACUAUGAUUUUAGUUGUGUUUUCAUGUAGUUUAGUUACUAGUGUUCAUCCAUUUUGGAUAGUCAAAAUAAACAACUUUCUUUUUAGAUAUCCUAAUGUUUUUACUUACAGAGAUGACAGGUUGCUCUUAGAUUUGUGUCCUAGGUUACAAUGUAAAGAUGUGCCCAAAAGUAUGUAUUCUAUCAUCAUCUGCUGAAACCAGGUGGGGUAGUGAUUCUUAUCUCUGUGGAGAUAUCCUCUGCUAAUGGGCCAUUUGUAAAAACCAGGCCAUUUUCUUAUCUUUCCCACACCCAUCCUUCCUCCAGGAAGAUAUCUUCUGUUAAUGGGCCAUUGAGUCCCACUGUAUGUCUGAUAAAAUUACAUCAGCCCACUGGGAGAUGCUCCAGCGUGGGGGAGGAGCCAAACAUUUCCUACCUAGAUAAAAGCUGAGAUUUAGAACACCAAGGCAGCCUUUACCCACUGGUUUCCAGAGGACAAGAGCUACCAGACCAUUCUACAGGAUCACCACUUCAACAAGACCACUUCAUCUGGAUGUUACCACCAGCCUAACUAGCGGGGUGUCAGGUUGUAUUCUUACUGUCAGUGGUUUUUCUUUUGUAGUAUUGCAUGCAUUUUAUAUUCCUCUUUUUUAUUUUUUUUCCUAUUAAAUUGUAUUUCUGACUUGGAGUCUCUCACUGGUUUUGCUUUCAAGUCAGUACAAUUUGGUGUUCUAAAACAUAGCAGCAUUCCUUAACAAAUGUGCUUAAAUGGCACAGGGUAUCUAAACAGCAGAUUUUGAUAAAGCUUUCAGCUUUAUGAACAAAAGCAAACCAUCGGGAAUCUAUUUGGUUGAGUCCCUCUGGAAAGGAUGUUUCAUUUUCAUCUAGUCCUUGGUGUAGCAAUGGGAAGAGGCCUGAGGCAGAGAAUGGAGGGCCAUGUUUGCACCCAGGAUCUCACGGCAGUGCUCGGUCCCUUGACUCAGUAUCAAUCUUAUCUUUUGCUAUAAAGAAAAGAAGGCUGAAAAAACCCAUUUAACAUCUUAGGAAAUUGAAAGAACAGCAAUUGAAUUCAGGACAAAACAAUAAAAUAUCACAUCAUUGAUGGGUUUUAAUUUCUUUUUCUAAAUAACCUGUCUCAAACUAUAAAACCAACCAUCUUCUGGUCACCCAAGUUUGCUGAUGGACCCAGUUUCAAACAGUUUCCAGGUCAAUCACAAACCACCAUUUAACUGGACUAAGUCACAAGCUUACCCUGCAGCAGCCCCUCAGUUUUCUGUUUUCUGGAGCUACAAGUAGGUUGCAGAGUGGUGUGAGCAGGAUACCCAGAAAUGGAUGGUGAUGCCUCUGGGUGGGACAGGCUCUAUAGCUGAUAUGAGUCCCAGUUUUCAUGGCACAGUGGGACAAGAAGAGCCCUGGGGAUCCAGAAGGUGCUGUGCAGAGAAGAACAUAUCUCCCAGGUGCCCUGUUCGGCA